rnacentral:rRNA from 1 species
GUUAAAAAGCUCGUAGUCGGAUUUCAAUGCGGGUUGACCGGUCUGCCGAUGGGUAUGCACUGGCCGAGCCGUAUUUCCUCCCGGAGACCUCGCCUACUCUUAACUGAGGCGGGCGGGGGAAACGGGAUUUUUACUUUGAGGAAAUCAGAGUGUUCAAAGCAGGCUUUUGUAUGUAUGUGUUAGCAUGGGAUAAUGAAAUAGGACUUUGGUGCUAUUUUGUUGGUUUCGAACACCGAAGUAAUGAUUAAUAGGGAUAGUCAGGGGCACUCGUAUUCCACCGAGAGAGGUGAAAUUCUUAGACCAGUGGAAGACGAACUUCUGCGAAAGCAUUUGCCAGGGAUGUUUUCACUGAUCAAGAACGAAAGUUAGGGGAUCGAAGACGAUCAGAUACCGUCGUAGUCUUAACCAUAAACCAUGCCGACUAGGGAUUGGGGGAUGUUAUUUUUACGACUCCUUCAGCACCUUACGAGAAAUCAAAGUCUUUGGGUUCCGGGGGGAGUAUGGUCGCAAGGCUGAAACUUAAAGGAAUUGACGGAAGGGCACCACCAGGAGUGGAGCCUGCGGCUUAAUUUGACUCAACACGGGGAAACUUACCAGGUCCAGACAUAGUAAGGAUUGACAGAUUAAGAGCUCUUUCUUGAUUCUAUGGGUGGUGGUGCAUGGCCGUUCUUAGUUGGUGGAGUGAUUUGUCUGGUUAAUUCCGUUAACGAA